rnacentral:rRNA from 1 species
UACAGAGGGUGCGAGCGUUAAUCGGAAUUACUGGGCGUAAAGCGUGCGUAGACGGUUAUUUAAGUCGGGUGUGAAAGCCCCGGGCUCAACCUGGGAAUUGCAUUCGAGACUGAAUAGCUAGGGUACGGUAGAGGGAAGCGGAAUUUCCGGUGUAGCGGUGAAAUGCGUAGAUAUCGGGAGGAACACCAGUGGCGAAGGCGGCUCACUGGCCCGAUACUGACGCUGAGGUGCGAAAGCGUGGGGAGCAAGAGGAG